rnacentral:rRNA from 1 species
GAUGAACGCUGGCGGCGUGCCUAAUACAUGCAAGUCGAGCGAACGGACGAGAAGCUUGCUUCUCUGAUGUUAGCGGCGGACGGGUGAGUAACACGUGGAUAACCUACCUAUAAGACUGGGAUAACUUCGGGAAACCGUAGCUAAUACCGGAUAAUAUUUUGAACCGCAUGGUUCAACAGUGAAAGACGGUCUUGCUGUCACUUAUAGAUGGAUCCGCGCUGCAUUAGCUAGUUGGUAAGGUAACGGCUUACCAAGGCAACGAUGCAUAGCCGACCUGAGAGGGUGAUCGGCCACACUGGAACUGAGACACGGUCCAGACUCCUACGGGAGGCAGCAGUAGGGAAUCUUGCGCAAUGGGCGAAAGCCUGACGGAGCAACGCCGCGUGAGUGAUGAAGGUCUUCGGAUCGUAAAACUCUGUUAGUAGGGAAGAACAGAUGUGUAAGUAACUGUGCACAUCUUGACGGUACCUAAUCAGAGAGCCACGGCUAACUACGUG